AAGUCGUAACAAGGUUUCCGUAGGUGAACCUGCGGAAGGAUCAUUAUCGAAUUUCGAGGGGGGGAAGAUUGGGGAGUUGGACUGUCGCUGGCCCUCGGGCAUGUGCACGUCUUACUUUUCGUCGACCUUCUCUCACCCACACACACACCUGUGCACCCGUUGUAGGUUCUCGAAAGAGGAUCUAUGUUUUUCACAUCACACCCCUAUCGUAUGUCUACAGAAUGUAUUGAAAUGAAAUAAAUCAUACAACUUUCAGCAACGGAUCUCUUGGCUCUC
rnacentral:misc_RNA from 1 species